CUGCCAGCUUUGCCUCCCUGGACCCUUGGCUGCCCUGAAAAAGGACGCCUUGCUUUUGUAGUGAGUGCUUGCAAGGACGUGGAUCAGGUUUGCCCUUUUAAAUUAAUGAGGAAGAAAAGCCUUUCUCAGAAUUGUCCAAUCUCACCAUCCGUCAUAUCUCACGGACCAGAAUUGCUCUCCUACCAGACACCUACCCAGUCAUCAGGAUGACCUUGGCUCAGAGCAAUCAAGUUUCACCCUGCAUCCUACAGAGAAGAGAUAGGUGCUGGAAUUAACCAGAGUUCCGUCAGUGUGGAAGAGGGGGUUGGUGACUGUCAGAGAGGCAACCCCAGCAGCUGCUGAAAAUGAUGUAGGAAAGAGAAUUUUCUUUCAGGAAGAUGGUAGCAGAUGCCCCAGGUCCAACAGGAUUAGAAGGAGGAGUGAUGAUGCAACCAAUUCAGCUGGCAUUCCCGUCACAUCUUCAGAGUGUGGUGUGGCCCUGGGGUCCAGUUUGCUCACCUCCUCUCUGCUGGGCCGGCUCACCCUGGGCAGCAGAGGGGAGGAGAAGGUAUGGCUGAGGUCCCCUAGAAGACCCCACUCCCUCCACUCCCACCCCCACCCCCGUCUCUCUGCCCUCCCCAAUCCCCAACCCUCGCCGACAUGAGCUCCCACUACCUCCCCGCCCCGGUCCCAUGUGGUUGUGUUUAACUCUAGAAUUUUGAACCCACCUCAAGCUGUGCCAGUGGGGAGAUCAAAGUCCAUAAAGUGAAUGUAUUUCAUAAACGGUGAACUUCUGCGAAGAAACCAAACUCACUUAAGCCAAAGCCAAGGGGAGUGUGAUGCUUUGACUGAUGCUUGAAAGGAAGAAAGAAGCUUGUUUCCCCUGUGUGUUACUUGUUUUUUUUUUUUUUUUUUAGAAGACUGUUUAUUAAAGGCCUCACUUUAAGACA